rnacentral:rRNA from 1 species
UGUGAGAGCAAGAGCCCGGAGAUGGAUUCUGAGACACGAAUCCAGGCCCUACGGGGCGCAGCAGGCGCGAAAACUUUACAAUGCGAGAAAUCGUGAUAAGGGAACCCCGAGUGCCCGUAAAUUCGGGCUGUCCGCCAGUGUAAAUAACUGGUGAAGAAAGGGCCGGGCAAGACCGGUGCCAGCCGCCGCGGUAAUACCGGCGGCUCGAGUGGUGGCCACUAUUACUGGGCUUAAAGCGUCCGUAGCUGGAUUGUUAAGUCUCUUGGGAAAUCCACCGGCUCAACCGAUGGGCGUUCAGGAGAAACUGGCAAUCUAGGGACCGGGAGAGGUGAGAGGUACUCCAGGGGUAGGAGUGAAAUCCUGUAAUCCUUGGGGGACCACCUGUGGCGAAGGCGUCUCACUAGAACGGCUCCGACAGUGAGGGACGAAAGCUGGGGGAGCAAACCGGAUUAGAUACCCGGGUAGUCCCAGCUGUAAACGAUGCGCGUUAGGUGUAUCGGUGACCACGAGUCAUCGAGGUGCCGAAGGGAAACCGUGAAACGUGC